AUUGAACGCUGGCGGCAUGCCUUACACAUGCAAGUCGAACGGCAGCGGACCUUCGGGUGCCGGCGAGUGGCGAACGGGUGAGUAAUGUAUCGGAACGUACCUUUCAGUGGGGGAUAACGUAGCGAAAGUUACGCUAAUACCGCAUAUUCUGUGAGCAGGAAAGCAGGGGAUCGCAAGACCUUGCGCUGAUUGAGCGGCCGAUAUCAGAUUAGCUAGUUGGUGAGGUAAAGGCUCACCAAGGCGACGAUCUGUAGCGGGUCUGAGAGGAUGAUCCGCCACACUGGAACUGAGACACGGUCCAGACUCCUACGGGAGGCAGCAGUGGGGAAUUUUGGACAAUGGGCGCAAGCCUGAUCCAGCCAUGCCGCGUGAGUGAAGAAGGCCUCGGUUGUAAGA
rnacentral:rRNA from 1 species